rnacentral:rRNA from 1 species
GACGAACGCAGUUGGCGUGCCUAACACAUGCAAGUCGAGCGAAGUGAGUACUACGGUACGAACUUAGCGGCGGACGGGUGAGUAACGCGUGGACAAUCUACCCUGUAGACUGGGAUAACACCUCGAAAGGGGUGCUAAUACCGGAUAAUGUCGAGAAGCGGCAUCGCUUUUCGAAGAAAGGAGAGAAUCCGCUAUAGGAGGAGUCCGUGUCCCAUUAGCUAGUUGGUGAGGGUAACGGCCCACCAAGGCGACGAUGGGUAGCCGGCCUGAGAGGGUGAACGGCCACACUGGGACUGAGACACGGUCCAGACUCAUACGGGAGGCAGCAGUGGGGAAUAUUGUGCAAUGGGGGAAACCCUGACACAGCAGCGCCGCGUGAGCGAAGAAGGCCGUCGGGUUGUAAAGCUCAAUAGUAUGGGAAGAUAAUGACGGUAGCAUACGAAAGCCCCGGCUAACUACGUGCCAGCCGCCGCCGUAAUAC